CCCUAGUAACGGCGAGUGAAGCGGGAAGAGCUCAAAUUUGAAAUCUGGUGGCCUCAGGUCAUCCGAGUUGUAAUCUAUAGAAGUGUUUUCCGUGCUGGCUCAUGUACAAGUCCCUUGGAACAGGGCGUCAUAGAGGGUGAGAAUCCCGUCCUUGACAUGAACUACCAGUGCUCUGUGAUACAUUUUCAACGAGUCGAGUUGUUUGGGAAUGCAGCUCAAAAUGGGUGGUAAAUUCCAUCUAAAGCUAAAUAUUGGCGAGAGACCGAUAGCGAACAAGUACCGUGAGGGAAAGAUGAAAAGCACUUUGGAAAGAGAGUUAAACAGUAUGUGAAAUUGUUGAAAGGGAAACGAUUGAAGUCAGUCGUGCUCUUUGGAUUCAGCCGGUUCUGCCGGUGUACUUCCUUUGAGUGGGGUCAACAUCAGUUUUGAUCGCUGGAUAAAGGCUGGAGGAACGUAGUACCCUCGGGUAAACUUAUAGCCUCCUGUCACAUACAGUGGUUGGGACUGAGGAACGCAGCACGCCUUUAUGGCCGGGAUUCGUCCACGUACGUGCUUAGGAUGUUGACAUAAUGGCUUUAAACGACCCGUCUUG
rnacentral:rRNA from 1 species